UUAGACACGAGCAGAGAGAAUUCACACUUCCCGCACAACAGCAGUUCAGUGGCAGCAGCCAUCUUAGUACCGUUCAUCGCCAUGAUCAUCGCAGGCUUCGCUCUGUACCUCUACAAACACAGGAGAAGACCUAAGGUACCGUUUAACGGCUACGCAGGCCAUGAGAACACUAACGGUAGAGCUACGUUUGAGAACCCCAUGUACGACCGGAACAUCCAGCCCACCGACAUCAUGGCCAACGAGACAGAGUUUACAGUCAGCACAGUGUGUACGGCGGUAUAGCCACUGCUACCUCCAGAGGCAGAGGAAGGCAGGAGACCCACCCAUGCCUGAGCCCCCUUUUACAAGAGAGACCACACCCUCAUCUAACUGGCCAGAGGGAAAGGAGAUGCUUUUAUACUGACUACAAUACAUUUGAGACAUUUAAAGAGAAGAAAAUAAUGUUUAUGAAAACAGACAAGGGGACGAUGGCCACAGCGGAGUGGUUGACUUUUCCCUUGUUACUUUCAUUCUCUGAGGAAUAUAUGCUACUGUCUGCCUGGGCAGAAAGGUGGAACUACGCUGUGGAAAUGAUCCUAGAUGAACGUCUAUGUAUUGUUCUUCAAAAACACAAAAAGGGAAUUUUUACGGUCAACUUUCAGCAGAGAUAUUGACGUGUAGCAGCUGAUACACAGGUGGCUUUGAGAGGAGAAGAACCAGUCGGUGUAAACAGCUUGCUGUGUAGCGAACAAAACCUGGCAAGGACCUUUUCCAACUGGACCUAGCUGGAUCUAACGGGAUCUAACUGGAUCUAACGGGAUCUAACUGGAUCUAACUGGAUCUAACUGGAUCUAACUGGACCUAAAGGGACCUAACGGGACCUAACGGGACCUAACGGGAUCUAACGGGAUCUAACGGGAUCUAACGGGACCUAACGGGAUCUAACGGGAUCUUAGUGGAUCUAACUGGAUCUAACGGGACCUAACAGGAUCUAACGGGAUCUAACUGGACCUAGCUGGAUCUAACUGGAUCUAACUGGACCUAACAGGAUCUAACUGGACCUAACGGGAUCUAACGGGAACUAUGCGUCAUGAGAAAGGCACUCUGGACUGCUUGUUUUCUUGGAUAUCAGACCAAUACUUAAUAAUUAGGCCCCAUUUUCUUCCUGGACUCCGGAAGUUUCCUCUGAGGCGUUGACACACUGUGGCUGCAGAUUAAAGGGGGAUGCGAAUAUCAGUAUUGCUUUUUACUCUCUUCCUGUUUUAUCAAGAGGAGAUUCUGCUUGCUAAGGCCACGAUAUCUGGAGUAGAGGUUAAGCGUUAGCUCAGGAAGGCUGCUGGGAAAGCAAUUAUUGAGGAUGUAGUGUCUGUGUGUGUGUGCGUGCGUGCAUGCGUGCGUGCAGGUUAAUUUGGCUACAUCAGCAAUCAAAAGCAUACCUCUUGUUUUUUUGACACCAAUAAAUCAAACAUAGUCUUUUAUGAACAAGUUGUGCUAGAUUCCACAGAUCACUAUGGAUAAUAUCUCUGACGAUGACUCUACAACACAGAUCACUGUGGAUAAUAUCUCUGAUGAUGACUCUAGAACACAGAUCACUAUGGGUAACAGCUCUGACGGUGACUCUAGAACACAGAUCACUAUGGGUAACAGCUCUGACGAUGACUCUAGAACACAGAUCACUGUGGAUAACAUCUCUGACGAUGACUCUAGAACACAGAUCACUGUGGAUAAUAUCUCUGAUGAUGACUCUAGAACACAGAUCACUAUGGGUAACAGCUCUGACGAUGACUCUAGAACACAGAUCACUGUGGAUAAUAUCUCUGAUGAUGACUCUACAACACAGAGUGGUUUCUACACCAGACAGACUGCUACUGUAAUUACAGAGUGGUUUCUACACCAGACAGAUAGACUACUACUGUAAUUACAGAGUGGUUUCUACACCAGACAGACUCCUACUGUAAUUACAGAGUGGUUUCUACACCAGACAGACAGACUGCUACUGUAAUUACAGAGUCAUUUCUACACCAGACAGACUGACUACUACUGUAAUUACAGAGUGGUUUCUACACCAGACAGACAGACUGCUACUGUAAUUACAGAGUGGUUUCUACACCAGACAGACAGACUGCUACUGUAAUUACAGAGUGGUUUCUACACCAGACAGACAGACAGACUCCUAAUGUAAUUACAGAGUGGUUUCUACACCAGACAGACUGCUACUGUAAUUACAGAGUGGUUUCUACACCAGACAGACAGACAGACUCCUACUGUAAUUACAGAGUGGUUUCUACACCAGACAGACAGACAGACUCCUACUGUAAUUACAGAGUGGUUUCUACACCAGACAGACAGACUCCUACUGUAAUUACAGAGUGGUUUCUACACCAGACAGACAGACUCCUACUGUAAUUACAGAGUGAUUUCUACACCAGACAGACAGACUCCUACUGUAAUUACAGAGUCAUUUCUACACCAGACAGACAGACUGUUACUGUAAUUACAGAGUGGUUUCUACACCAGACAGACUGCUACUGUAAUUACAGAGUGGUUUCUACACCAGACAGACAGACUCCUACUGUAAUUACAGAGUGGUUUCUACACCAGACAGACAGACUCCUACUGUAAUUACAGAGUGGUUUCUACACCAGACAGACUCCUACUGUAAUUACAGAGUGGUUUCUACACCAGACAGACAGACUGCUACUGUAAUUACAGAGUGGUUUCUACACCAGACAGACAGACUGCUACUGUAAUUACAGAGUGGUUUCUACACCAGACAGACUCCUACUGUAAUUACAGAGUGGUUUCUACACCAGACAGACAGACUGCUACUGUAAUUACAGAGUGGUUUCUACACCAGACAGACUGCUACUGUAAUUACAGAGAUGGUUCUACACCAGACAGACUCCUACUGUAAUUACAGAGUGGUUUCUACACCAGACAGACAGACUGCUACUGUAAUUACAGAGUGGUUUCUACACCAGACAGACAGACAGACUCCUAAUGUAAUUACAGAGUGGUUUCUACACCAGACAGACAGACAGACUCCUACUGUAAUUACAGAGUGGUUUCUACACCAGACAGACUCCUACUGUAAUUACAGAGUGGUUUCUACACCAGACAGACAGACUGCUACUGUAAUUACAGAGUGGUUUCUACACCAGACAGACAGACUGCUACUGUAAUUACAGAGUGGUUUCUACACCAGACAGACUCCUACUGUAAUUACAGAGUGGUUUCUACACCAGACAGACAGACUGCUACUGUAAUUACAGAGUGGUUUCUACACCAGACAGACUGCUACUGUAAUUACAGAGAUGGUUCUACACCAGACAGACUCCUACUGUAAUUACAGAGUGGUUUCUACACCAGACAGACAGACUGCUACUGUAAUUACAGAGUGGUUUCUACACCAGACAGACAGACAGACUCCUAAUGUAAUUACAGAGUGGUUUCUACACCAGACAGACAGACAGACUCCUAAUGUAAUUACAGAGUGGUUUCUACACCAGACAGACAGACUCCUACUGUAAUUACAGAGUGGUUUCUACACCAGACAGACUUCUACUGUAAUUACAGAGUGGUUUCUACACCAGACAGACAGACUGCUACUGUAAUUACAGAGUGGUUUCUACACCAGACAGACAGACUCCUACUGUAAUUACAGAGUGGUUUCUACACCAGACAGACAGACUCCUACUGUAAUUACAGAGUGGUUUCUACACCAGACAGACUGCUACUGUAAUUACAGAGAUGGUUCUACACCAGACAGACAGAAUCCUACUGUAAUUACAGAGUGGUUUCUACACCAGACAGACAGACUGCUACUAUAAUGAGAGAGUGUUUUGUAACCUUCGAAACCACCUCUCAAGGCCCUGAACCAACUCUACAUGGACAUACUAAAACAAAAACACAUGUUCUGAAAGGACUCUGGUUGUGUUACAGUCUGUUCUCUCUGUGGGCCAGUCACUUUGCUCACGUCAACCCAGAUCUGUCAGUAGAAAGGUAGAAAUGAAGCGUCUGAUCCAUCAAUGUAGCGAGGGGCCACACGACGUGUUUCCAUGGAGACUCAUGGUGCUAGGAACCACCUGUGUUUUUUUUUCCAGUGUUCCAGAACCGAAGCAACAUGUCGCACAGAACAGAACAUCAAUGCUGCAUUGACCAACAGAUGAUGUCAUGUCACACGGUGUUCUUCUGCUACAGCAAAGUCUCCUCCUGGUCGUCACUCUCUCUAGGACUGAGCUGCAGAGACGGUAUAGGAACUGGCAAUGACUCACCAGUCACCAGGCUUGCUGAUAGAAGCAAGAAUAAUGACUACUCAACUGGUCAAUCUGUACUAUUAAUGAACCUGGAGGCUAGGACAUGGGCAAUGAACCUGGAGGCUAGGACAUGGUCAAUGAACCUGAAGGCUAGGACAUGGUCAAUGAACCUGGAGGCUAGGACCUGGAGCCUAGGACAUGAUCAAUGAACCUGGACGCUAGGACAUGGUCAAUGAACCUGGAGGCUAGGACCUGGAGGCUAGGACAUGAUCAAUGAACCUGGACGCUAGGACAUGGUCAAUGAACCUGGAGGCUAGGACAUGGUCAAUUAACCUGGAGGCUAGGACAUGGUCAAUGAACCUUGAGGCUAGGACAUGGUCAAUGAACCUGGACGCUAGGACAUGGUCAAUGAACCUGGACGCUAGGACAUGGUCAAUGAACCUGGAGGCUAGGACAUGGUCAAUGAACCUGGAGGCUAGGACCUGGAGGCUAGAGUCUAGGCCCACUCACUAUCUGGACUAGUCACCUUCUGCUCUGUUUGUCUACUCUCCUCUUCAAGAAUCUCAACUCAUCUGUAUACAACUAAGGAAACAAAUCCAUCCACUGCUUGACAAAGGUUUUCCCUUCCCUUGGAUGUUAAGACAUAACCUGUCACACAUCACAUCACCACAGGUACUCUUCAGUAAGCUCCUAACAUCUCUUGAAACGUUAUCACAUUGCUCUAUUUUUUCCCUCGGCUCAUCAUGAGAACGUCGCUGAAGGCUCAUCAUAGCUUUGACAGCAGGGGUAUUGGUGGCUUUGCAAUUACUCGUGUCUAGCUUCAAUUGGAAAUGAUUAAGCAGAUCAUAGCAAAACAGUGUUUACGCUCCGAUCCCCGGCUCCCGCAUCAUAAUCUCCCAAUUAUCAGGGAAGGUUCGGCAAAGACAAGCAGCUGGGAUAUCGGCAGGCGGGGACAGACGGGGAGACGACACCCGCUUAACUUUUCAACGUUUCAGACGUAAACAUCAGCAGAAAAAGACUGUGACGGGAACAGGAACAGGAACAGGAAAGGGAGGGUUGAGAGUAAAGGGAGCGUGAAGGAACAGGAACAGGAACAGGAAAGGGAGGGUUGAGAGUAAAGGGAGCGUGAGAGUGAAUAACAUCUCGUGAUGUGAGUCAAGAUGUCAGGAAGAAGAAGGAUUAUCCGAUCAGUGACACUGUGACAUGUAUUCCUACUAGGGAGGAAGAUGGAAUAUGGGACUGUGGUUAAAUUGGUAUAGUGUCUGUAUGUCCCCUUUGAAGACCCUGUCCAGAGAUCAGGGCCUCGUUUCCCAGUUGCAAAAUUAUUUAAGCAUUACGAUCAGGACCUGAAACUAACUUUUAGCCACUCUGAUUUUUUUUACCAGCCAAAAUAUUUGUUCACUAUAAAACUAAAAACAAACCGGUUGAGCAUGCUUUGUAAUGUUUCUAAAAGAAUAAAUGUCUCAGUAGUAAGAA